UAGAUGUGGGCGAAACGUCAGGAGAGAAUACUUCUUGAACAUGGCCCUACAGCCCGGAAAACAUACAACAACCCUGUGAUCCUGGCCAUGAAAGCCUUCGCCAACACAUAGUACAUGUAUUCAUUGGAAUUACUCUCUCUUCAUUUUCUUCUGCCAGUUAAUUUCAUCAAUUUCCACUGAUGUUAUCACAUAAAUUAAAUUGCUUGCAUACCCUAGUGAUGUCAUAUUUGGAAACAUUAUUUUUUGUACUACAACUCACAACACUGAUCAUGUUGACAGAGAAAUCUGGAAGCUAUACUAUAUGUUGCUGGUCAUUCAUGAGGUUUUCUUAGGCAAGGGGAACUGAGAGGAUUUUUUUGCCACUUUCUUCCUCUGAAUUAUAGUUUACAGUACCUGGUGUCCAUUGGCAGCCUCCCAACCAAGUCCUAACUAGAGCUGAUCCUGCUUAAUUUUUUUGCUCAGAUGGGAUCUGGUGUCUUUAGGGGAUUUAGGCUAGGGAAAUAUAGAUGUAGGAUAUAGACCAGAAAUAAUUUCCCCAAUCUAUCAUAUCACUCCAAAAAAUAAUUGGUUAUUUCCUGACAAAGUCAUGAAUAGAGAGCCCAUUCUUUCUGUAAUCCCUGGUUAUUAUGAUUUUUUCCUCAUGUCAGGAGUGACUUGAGAAACUGCAAGUCGUUUCUGGUGUGAGAGAAUUGGCCUUCUGCAGACGUUGCCCAGGGGAUGUCCGGAUGUGUUACUAUAUUGUUAUAUUUACUUAUACCCUGCUUUAUCUCUCCCAAAGGGAACUCAAAGUGGCUAGGAUUGUGCAGCCAACACAGAAAAAGAAAUAUGCAUCAAAGACAUUGGGGGGAUUGAAACUGAGUGAAAUCAGCAGUUGUAAAUUGGAAGACAUUUUGAGGAACAGAGGAAAUGGUCUCCAAGAAGGUUUGAAGAAUUGAUUCUGCUUACCACUGUGUUAUUUUUUUAAAGAUAGAAAGAAGGAUCUCUGUGCUACCUGACAUUUCCACAUCAUGUAAUACACUAUUUUACUUCUUUAAAUAUUUGCACAUUUUUUCCCUGUACUGAAACCUAUACAGCUUUCUCGUGCUUUUUUAAAAAAACGGUUGUAAUAAAUGUACUGAAAAAGUUCCUACCACAACAUUUGGCAUAGCCAUAGCUUCCAUUCCCUGUUGAACUGUGUUGUUUUUAUUUAUUUAUUUAUUCACUUGUCUAAUAAUCUUUUCAGGUGUGACUUGAACUAGUAUAUACAUUACUUGAUGUCUACAAUCAGUUCAUGUCUGAAUGAAAGUUUUCUUUCAUUUUAAGAUUUUCCGUUUCCUUGUUCACUUUUCUAAUAAUUCCUUGUAAUUCCUUGUAAAUCCGUGUAGAAUUCCGCCUUUCCCAAAGAUGUCACCACAAUAUUUGAACAACAUUUUCACCAAGCUCUUUAUCAUGAUCUAAUACCUGAUUUUGAUCAGCUGCCACCAGCUCACAUGCUAUCACAUGUAUUUGAGUUUUUGGCUUUCCUAGUUCCUAACUUUACAUUAUUGCAUUGACUUGCAUUUACGAUUUUGUACCCAUAGUAAAGAAAAAUAUAAAAUAAUUGGGCUACAGUGGGCUCAUAUUAUCUGGUGGGAUUUGGUUUCAGUAUCCUCUGUGGAUACCAAAAUCCAGAAUAGGUCUUCACAGACAUUUAUGGAUCCACCAUCAAUAGUCUACCUCUGGAAGACAAUCAUACUCAGCCAUGAGUGAUUGCCCAUGAUGCAUCAAUAUCUGUGGAUGCUUAUGUCCCAUUGUAUAAAUGGCAUAAUACAGCAGUUCUCUACCUUUGGUCCUCCAGUUGUUUUGGACUUCAGCUCCCACAAUUCCUAACAACUGGGAUUUCUGGGUGUUGAAGUCCAAAAAACCUGGCGGCCCAAAGGUUGAGAACCACUGGCAUCAUUAAAUAGUCACCAUUUUGCUAGUAUUUCAUGGCACUCAGAAUCUGCAGCUUGACGUACCUGUGUCACUCUAGUUAACACAAAAUAAUUUAUACUCUAUGACUCAUUCUAUAUUUUAUAUAGAUUUAAUUAAAUCAAAGUUCUAAUAUAGCUACAAAGUUUCAAGUCUGAAAAAACCCUGAUAAUGACUCUCAAUUGGUCACUUAAUGGCUACAAAAGAACACCACAACAACUGUUGGAAACACUUGAAAAUUGUGUCAAUACAUUUUGCAGAAAUCAGGCUCCAACAAUAAAUAGAUACUCAAGAGUGUAUGUCCAGUCGGCUUUUCUUGCUCCACUGUGCUUCUUAUAUAUGUUUUCAAACAUUUAAGAGACCUUUCAUUUGUAGGUGUUGAUACUGGCGAUGUUGCAGAAAUCCGAAGAAGUUUCUUCACAUUUGGAAAAAAAAACUGUUUAUCUCAGAAAAUAUAUGCUUCCAGUUCAUUUUAUGGCUUUUCUGCAGGUGCAAUCUUUUUCCAUUUUCUACACCACAGGUCAAAUUCUUCCAUCAGUAUGUCAGUAUCCUGAAUAAAUUUAUUGUAAAGUUAUGUGCACUUGUUCAAGUUGGAUUUUAAAUGGCCACAAUUAAUAGGUAGGAACACUUGCAGUUCUUGAACUACUUCCCUGUGCCUUCCUUGAAGCUGACUGCAGAAAAAGUCCAGAAAUGGGAUGUUUAACAAAACAUAAAACUGCAUCAUGUAAUUCAACCCAACAGUUUUCACAAAUCUUGAUUCAGGAAACAGUCUUUUAUAUUUUUCUUCAAGAGUUGCAGUCUGUUGGAUGAUGCACUGAAGAAAUUGCACACAGGUGUUGUUCUUAGGCAGUUUCUGGCAGGUGGAAUGCUGCAAGUCUUUGCUAAGGCUAGAUUUAGAGAGUGAGCACUGCAGUGGAUGUAGACAGCCAUUAAAUACAUCUGCAAUAUAAUUGUCUGCAUCACUAAUAUGACCACUUAUAUUAGCAGCUCCAUCAUAACCCUGUCCACACAAGUAUUGCAAGUUCAGCCCAAUUUUUCCAGUGUUUUCAAAGUAAUGCCUGCAAGUCCACCUAUCAUAUCACUUAUCUUCAUAAAACCUAUAGUCUUCUCUUAUUCCUGAAGCUUCAACAUCAGUGUACCUUACUGAGAGCGACAACUGCUCUGAGGUACUCACAUACAAAGUUUCAGCUGCCAAAACAGAGAAACACUGUGAAACAUUGCAUUUUUCAACCAUUUUUACUAUCUUGCCACCACAAAUAUCUAUUAGUUCAGAAUCUGAUUGUAAGAUUCUGACCUUUUCUCUCCAGUUCCCUGCUCUUAUCCUUCCCUUCCCUUUCUUCCCCUCCUC